AGUGGCGAACGGGUGAGUAACGCGUGGAUGAUCUACCUACGAGAUGGGGAUAACUAUUAGAAAUAGUAGCUAAUACCGAAUAAAGUCAAUUAAUUUGUUAAUUGAUGAAAGGAAGCCUUUAAAGCUUCGCUUGUAGAUGAGUCUGCGUCUUAUUAGCUAGUUGGUAGGGUAAAUGCCUACCAAGGCGAUGAUAAGUAACCGGCCUGAGAGGGUGAACGGUCACACUGGAACUGAGAUACGGUCCAGACUCCUACGGGAGGCAGCAGCUAAGAAUCUUCCGCAAUGGGCGAAAGCCUGACGGAGCGACACUGCGUGAAUGAAGAAGGUCGAAAGAUUGUAAAAUUCUUUUAUAAAUGAGGAAUAAGCUUUGUAGGAAAUGACGAAGUGAUGACGUUAAUUUAUGAAUAAGCCCCGGCUAAUUACGUGCCAGCAGCCGCGGUAAUACGUAAGGGGCGAGCGUUGUUCGGGAUUAUUGGGCGUAAAGGGUGAGUAGGCGGAUAUACAAGUCUAUGCAUAAAAUACCACAGCUCAACUGUGGAACUAUGUUGGAAACUAUAUGUCUAGAGUCUGAUA
rnacentral:rRNA from 1 species